rnacentral:snoRNA from 1 species
GUGAUGACUGAACCCCGGUCUGAACAGUGAUGCCACCGUGUGAGGACUGAU